UACGGAGGAUGCGAGCGUUAUCCGGAUUUAUUGGGUUUAAAGGGUGCGUAGGCGGGCUGUUAAGUCAGCGGUAAAAGCCCGGGGCCCAACCCCGGCGAGCCGUUGAAACUGGCUGUCUUGAGAUGUCGAGAGGUAUGCGGAAUGCGCAGUGUAGCGGUGAAAUGCUUAGAUAUUGCGCAGAACUCCGAUUGCGAAGGCAGCAUACCGGCGGCGAUCUGACGCUGAGGCACGAAAGCGUGGGUAUCGAACAGG
rnacentral:rRNA from 1 species